UACAGAGGUCCCAAGCGUGGUUCGGAUUCACUGGGCGUAAAGGGUGCGUAGGCGGUCGGGUAAGUCUGAUGUGAAAUCUCACAGCUUAACUGUGAAACUGCAUUGGAUACUAUCCGGCUCGAGGAAUGGAGGGGAGACUGGAAUACUUGGUGUAGCAGUGAAAUGCGUAGAUAUCAAGUGGAACACCAGUGGCGAAGGCGAGUCUCUGGACAUUUCCUGACGCUGAGGCACGAAAGCCAGGGGAGCAAACGGG
rnacentral:rRNA from 1 species